CAGUGGCUCAGUUGGUUAGAGCGCCGCCCUGUCACGGCGGAGGUCACGGGUUCGAGUCCCGUUUGG
rnacentral:tRNA from 2 species